AGGAUAUUACCUUCGCCCCAAAUUAUUUGUCUUAGAUUUGUCUAGAUACGGAUUUAUUUAACACUAAAAUGUGUCUUAAUACAUUUGUAUUUAAAAAAUCUAAGAUAAAUAAUUCGGGACGGAGGGAGUAGAAA
rfam:Triticum aestivum genome assembly, contig: Triticum_aestivum_CS42_TGACv1_scaffold_132948_2BL